rnacentral:pre_miRNA from 1 species
UGUUAAAAAAUUCAUCCAUUUGUACUAUUAAAAACUGGGAUAGCUUAUGAAAUAACCUGACAAUAAUACAUGGUGUGCCACAUGUACCUCAUGUUGAUGUAUAAGGACUAGUUUUUAAUAGUAAAAAUAGAUAAAAUUUAAAUA